CCGCUAAGGCGUCGAAGUAGUGUAUGUCAUACUUCCAAGAAAAGCUUGCACUGUCAUAGAUAAAAAACGCCUGUACCAUAACCGACACAGGUGGGUAGGUAGAGUAUACUAAGGGGCGCGAGAUAACUCUCUCUAAGGAACUCGGCAAAAUAACUCCGUAACUUCGGGAGAAGGAGUGCCUUAUUCGUAAGGUUGCAAUAACAAGAUCCAAGCAACUGUUUAUCAAAAACACAGGUCUCCGCUAAGUCGUAAGACGAUGUAUGGGGGCUGACGCCGCCCAGUGCCAGAAGGUUAAAGAAGUUGGUUAGCAAUUGCGAAGCUGAUAACUGAAGCCCUGGUGAACGGCGGCCGUAACGAUAACGGUCCUAAGGUAGCGAAAUUCCUUGUCGGGUAAGUUCCGACCCGCACGAAAGGCGUAAUGAUUUGGAUACUGUCUCGGAGAGGGGCUCGGUGAAAUAGACUUGUCUGUGAAGAUGCGGACUACCUGCACCAGGACAGAAAGACCCUAUGAAGCUUUACUGUAACUUGAAAUUGAAAUUGGACUUUAUUCGCGCAGUAUAGGUGGGAGGCGUUGAUUAUAAUCUUGUGGGAUUAUUGGAGCCAUCAGUGAGAUACCACUCUUGUAAUGUUAGAUUUCUAACUUUGAAUCAUUAUCUGGUCAAAGAACAGUUUCAGGCGGGCAGUUUGACUGGGGCGGUCGCCUCCUAAGCAGUAACGGAGGCGUACAAAGGUUUCCUCUGAACGGUUAGAAAUCGUAUCUAGAGUGUAAAGGCAUAAGGAAGCUUGACUGUGAGACCUACAAGUCGAGCAGGGACGAAAGUCGGUCUUAGUGAUCUGACGGUACUGAGUGGAAAGGCCGUCACUCAACGGAUAAAAGUUACCCUAGGAUAACAGGCUGAUCUCCCCCAAGAGUUCACAUCGACGGGGAGGUUUGGCACCUCGAUGUCGGCUCAUCGCAUCCUGGGGCGGUAGCACGUCCCAAGGGUUGGGCUGUUCGCCCAUGAAAGCGGUACGCGAGCUGGUUUCAGAACGUCGUGAGACAGUUCGGUCCAUAUCCGGUGUAGGCGUUAGAAUAUUGAGAGGAGCCUUCUUUAGUACGAGAGGACCGAGAAGGACAUACCUCUGGUGUACCAGUUAUCGUGCCAACGGUAAACGCUGGGUAGCUAUGUAUGGAGUGGAUAACCGCUGAAAGCAUCUAAGUGGGAAGCCCACCUCAAGAUAAGUAUUCUCA
rnacentral:rRNA from 1 species